AAUUCAUUCAAUGUGAUGCAAAUUAUGUUAAAAGUGCAAUCCAAAAGCAUGCACAUUUAAAUGCAAUUCAGCCUUUUUUUAGUUCAAAUUUGAUGAUGCAUGACAGUAUAUGAUGCAUGAUAGAUAGAUAGAUAGAUAGAUAGAUAGAUAGAUAGAUAGAUAGAUAGAUAGAUAGAUAGAUAGAUAGAUAGAUAGAUAGAUAGAUAGAUAGAUAGAUAGAUAGAUAGAUGUUGCUGUCCUGCGUUCAUUUUAAUUCCAGGGAUUUGUGAGAAACAGAUGGUUUCAUGUCAAUCAUUUGCACAUGUUUGAAUAAGAAUUCACUAAUUACUAAUGUGCAUAAUUAGGACUAAUUAAGUUGUCUGAACAGCACACUGGCAUUAUGAAGACAUAACAGAACCAGUUCCUCCGAAAGCGGCGGGUGAUCGACCCACUGCGGCGCAUUUCAAUAAGUGCUUUAUUCCCGAGACUCGGCGAAUGUCAAGAGCGCAUGCUGUUUUGGCGCAGAACGUGACGUCAGCGAUCAGCCAGUGUCACUUUCGGCUGGUUUCUGAAGGACUUAGAGUUUAGGUUCCAACCCUGUUUCAACACACAAACCAUGUCAUUUUUAAAAAAGCAUGAAGGACUUUAUUAGUUGGAUCAGGCAAAUCAUCCCAAUCCGAGCGUCCCGUGGUGCUCACGUCCUCCAGACCUCCACCUCCGUAUCUCUGUAAUAUAGAUGUUUGUGUGAGUGUGUGUAUGUCUGUGCAUCUCCAGCCUUCUUACAGCAGGCAUGAUUGGUUGUGUUUCUGUUUCAGACAAAUGGAUUUUAUCCCCCUUAUAAUUGUGUUUGAGAAAUCAAUGAUGCAACUGAAGAACAGCGGAAAAUAACAGAGCGUUGUCAUCCACAACGACUCAUUCUGUGCUGUGAUGUAAUGUUUCUUUGAACGCCGUUUGUUUUACAGUUCUCCCUGUCCUUUGUUUUCAGGUGUGUGUAAAUCUUUUUAAUUCACAAAAAGGAGAAAAAAGUCGAGAAUUUAAAUGGAAGGAGAAAAAUAAAAGCAAAUUUUGUUUUUAA